GACGAACGCUGGCGGCGUGCUUAACACAUGCAAGUCGAACGGAAAGGCCCUGCUUUUGUGGGGUGCUCGAGUGGCGAACGGGUGAGUAACACGUGAGUAACCUGCCCUUGACUUUGGGAUAACUUCAGGAAACUGGGGCUAAUACCGGAUAGGAGCUCCUGCUGCAUGGUGGGGGUUGGAAAGUUUCGGCGGUUGGGGAUGGACUCGCGGCUUAUCAGCUUGUUGGUGGGGUAGUGGCUUACCAAGGCUUUGACGGGUAGCCGGCCUGAGAGGGUGACCGGCCACAUUGGGACUGAGAUACGGCCCAGACUCAUACGGGAAGCAGCAGUAGGGAAUAUUGCACAAUGGGCGGAAGCCUGAUGCAGAAACGCCGCGUGCGGGAUAACGGCCUUCGGGUUGUAAACCGCUUUCGCCUGUGACGAAGCGUGAGUGACGGUAAUGGGUAAAGAAGCACCGGCUAACUACGUG
rnacentral:rRNA from 1 species